rnacentral:rRNA from 1 species
AGGCAGCAGUGGGGGAAUAUUGCACAAUGGGCGCAAGCCUGAUGCAGCCAUGCCGCGUGUGUGAAGAAGGCCUUCGGGUUGUAAAGCACUUUCAGUCGUGAGGAAGGUAGUGUAGUUAAUAGCUGCAUUAUUUGACGUUAGCGACAGAAGAAGCACCGGCUAACUCCGUGCCAGCAGCCGCGGUAAUACGGAGGGUGCGAGCGUUAAUCGGAAUUACUGGGCGUAAAGCGCAUGCAGGUGGUUUGUUAAGUCAGAUGUGAAAGACCCGGGGCUCAACCUCGGGAUAGCAUUUGAAACUGGCAGACUAGAGUACUGUAGAGGGGGGUAGGAAUUUCAGGUGUAGCGGUGAAAUGCGUAGAGAUCUGAAGGAAUACCGGUGGCGAAGGCGGCCCCCUGGACAGAUACUGACACUCAGAUGCGAAAGCGUGGGGAGCAAACAGGAUUAGAUACCCUGGUAG